UGCAAGCUACACCCAGCUAAGCUGGC
rnacentral:piRNA from 1 species